rnacentral:lncRNA from 1 species
GUUGGUGCCAAACUCGCCAAAAAAAAAAACAAAAAAACAAAAAAACAAACAAAAAAAAAACCCACCACCUUUGGUUUUUCAGAGCUUUUUAGAUUUCAGAAUGGUGGACACCCAUCAGGAUUUGAAGUCUGGCUUGUUCCAUGGCCUGGCGGUGUUUCCCAGCAGCUCUGGCUAGAAGGAAAGAACGGCAGCAGAGGGAAGGCCUCGAGCAGGAGCACGAAGCCAGGCUCCGGGGAGCUGAGAAUCCCCAACCCCAAGUGGCGGUGGGAUGCCCUCCUCACUGGGAGGGCUGCAGGCCUGGAGGUCAGCUGCAGAACACAGCAGGGCCCUGGAAGUGAGGGAGUGCAUGGGGGGAAGGAAGUGCUGGUUAGGGAAGCCAAAGGGGCCUUGGCAGUGGGGCAAAGUGCAGGAGCCCCCAAAUUCACUUCACACACACACGCACACGCACACACCCCCAGAAGUUCCACACGUCAAAAAGCAAACUGCCACGGGGGGGCCCCUGCCAGGCCUCCUGAGGCCCUGGGAAAAAGGAAAGAAAGGCAGGAGCCUCAAAGAAGCUGCUGGUGUGGGAGGAGAAGGCAACCUGUUGACUUCAGAGAGGGGCAGAGCAGUAGGCCCCAUCUCCUCCCUGUUCCUGUGUCAAGUGUGGUUUUCUGUCAAGUGGUAGCAGGUUCAGCCACAGUCGAGGGAGGGAGUGGGGAGAGGCCCCAGAGAGCGAGAGGCCCAGGGGUGGGCGCCCUGCAGCUGGAAGGUGAUUUGCUACAGCUGCUCUCAGCUGGGGAACAGAAUGAAUGGUGGGGACUGGGGCUUUGGGUUGUGCAAGGCAUGCUGGGAAGUGUGGGUUUUAAUUGGCAGUUGGGCAGUUUAGCCACAGGCUGGGGGCAGGGUGGGGUCUGCAAAGGAGGGGAAGCCGGAUCCCCGGGGAUAUUGGAAUAGACCAAACUACAGGCCAAAGGACAGUCGGGUUACCCACAUUCUCAUCCUGUUUCAGCAGAGGAUCCAGCAAGUGAGUGAAGAUGUGUAAGAGAUUGUCGAAGGUCUUUGAUUAGAGGUGAUUAAAGUCUUGAAGAGAAAUGUGGUACUUCUGGGGGGAGGGGAAAAGCUAGAGGAACAGCCGGCUUUGCCCUUCCUCUCACUGCAUCUCUACUACCCAAGGGACUGGGUGUCAAUAGGUGAUUAUGUAGCUUGGUUAAUAAUCAUGGCAGGGGAAAUGAAAGAACCAG